CCCCAAUGGUUUAUUUGCUAGAAGAGUCUUUUCCUACCAACUCUGAGCUUGAUGCAGACAGACAAGACACUUACCUGCUUUCGGUUUGAAGAUGUUCAGCUCAGAUUACCUGCAUCUAAGGACCAAAAUGUAAAUGCCAGGGCCAUUCUUCCAGCAGGAGCAGAGGCUCCGGACACUGUGUGCCAAGGCUGGUGGAGACUGACCGGGGCCCCAGGAGCUAUGCACAAGGCAGGAGAG